CAAUAGCGUAUAUUAAAGUUGUUGCAGUUAAAAAGCUCGUAGUUGGAUUUCUGUGAGAGUGCCGGUGUCGGCUGAUGCUUGUACGCAGGCGCUCUUACAUCCUUCUGUUAACUCAUCUUGGCAUUUUAUUGCUGGUUGAGGGCUCAGAUAUUUUACCUUGAGAAAAUUAGAGUGUUUCAGGCAGGCUUAUGCCGGAAUACAUUAGCAUGGAAUAAUGGAACAGGACCUGUGCGUCUCUCGGGGCGCCGGUCUCCGUUAUUGGUUUCGGGGACUAAUGUAAUGAUUAAUAGGGAUAGUUGGGGGCAUUAGUAUUUAAUAGUCAGAGGUGAAAUUCUCGGAUUUGUUAAAGACUAACUUAUGCGAAAGCAUUUGCCAAGGAUGUUUUCAUUA
rnacentral:rRNA from 1 species